rnacentral:rRNA from 1 species
ACGACUUGUAAUUGCGAUGGGGGGACGGAGAAGGCUAGGUGGGCCAGGCGACGGUUGUCCUGGUGAAAGUGCGUAGGUGGUGUUUCUAGGCAAAUCCGGAGACACAACACUGAGACACGAGACGAACGCACUACGGUGCGGAAGCCAUUGAUGCCCUGCUUCCAGGAAAAGCCUCUAAGCUUCAGAUUACAAGUCAUCGUACCCCAAACCGACACAGGUGGUCGGGUAGAGAAUACCAAGGCGCUUGAGAGAACUCGGGUGAAGGA